ACCUGUUCAGGAAAUGAAAGUUCUCUAACUGAGUGUCAGCACAGUGGAUUUGGAUCAAACAGAUGUGAACAUGGUCAGGAUGCUGCUGUCAUCUGUUCAGGUAUUUCUCCAAGUCCAACAAACCCUCCUGAGCCAGUGAAGUUUAUUAUAGACUUGAACUUGCUCUUCCCAAUAUCCAGUCUGCCCCCAAAUUUCAUUGAUCUAUUCAGAGGCUAUGUGAGAAAUGUGUCCUUUCCCCAAAACAUCACUGGGUCUUUAAUAAUAGAAGACUUGAACUUCAC